rnacentral:rRNA from 1 species
UACGUAGGGUGCGAGCGUUAAUCGGAAUUACUGGGCGUAAAGCGUGCGCAGGCGGUUAUUUAAGUCAGGUGUGAAAGCCCUGGGCUUAACCUAGGAACUGCGCUUGAGACUGGAUAGCUUGGAGUGCGGCAGAGGGAGGUGGAAUUCCACGUGUAGCAGUGAAAUGCGUAGAGAUGUGGAGGAACACCGAUGGCGAAGGCAGCCUCCUGGGCCAGCACUGACGCUCAUGCACGAAAGCGUGGGGAGCAAACAGG